GGGUGGGCCUUUAGGGGGUGACGUGAGAGGGAGGCGGGGCUUAAGAAACCUUGCUAGGAGAACACAAUCUGCGGGGCUUUCACUUGGGCUUGGAUGUUGCGUCGGGUGGGGAUGCUGCGGUGCGUCUCUGGCUGAGAGGAGCCAUGGAAGCGAAGGCUGGAUUGGGCAGAAAGGUUUAUCUGUACAGUCCAGAUGGGUGUUGUCUCUGGAAGACUGUGAGCUUUGCAAAACAAACGCAGGGGGAAAAAAUCCACUUGGCAGAAAGACUCAUACAGGAAUUGAAACACCCAAAUACAAACGCUGAUCCUUGAAAAUAAAGAAAAAUUGAACCUGGCACUGGCAAGUUGGAAACCUAAGGAGUAACCAAAGCUCCUGUGGGAAAGUGAAGAGAUGGGAGAUUUCCCCAACACCCAUAGUGCAACCUUUAAUUCCAAU